rnacentral:lncRNA from 1 species
GCCCAUUACGGCUUGUUUGGGAGAUGUGGAGUGGUGUUUAUUUGGAGAUGUGUAUUUGGAAUUCCUUGGGUUCGAAUUUGGUUUAAGGUUGAGAUUUGUUGUAGUUUGACCUAAAUUCUUGUGGGAAUAGGAGUUAUAGUUGAGUUGGUCUUGGAGAAAUCAACUAAUGGACUGGGACAAAUUAUUACCGCAUUUUCACUAACUAGACGCUCGAGCGAUACCGUCAAAAUAGGAGCAGACAACUAUCGUCCCCUUGUCGCUUGAGCGACAGGGUUGCCGCUCGACGUCAUUCAACGUCGCUCGAGCAAUGGAGUUUCUCGGCUUUUCACGUUUUAACGCAUUUUGGACUCCUAUUCAUCUAUAACUAGGUCUUUUGGCUUCUCUAUAUAUACAAAUAUUCGUAUAUUGUAAUAUAACACAUGAAAAUCUUGAGAAAUUGAGAGAGAACAAAUUAUACAACAUCUUGUGAGCCUUAGAUUCAAUUGAGUGCAUUGAGUCUUGAUAUUGUAAACACAAUUCCUAUUGAUUAUAGUGAAUUUCUCUUCCUUUGUCCGUGGGUUUUUCCCGAUUUGGGUUUCCAUGUAAAAUCUCCGUGUUAUUACUUUUGUGCCUAUUUCAUUAUUGUCAAUAACUUUGCGAUCCGAAUUCAUAACAAUUGAUAUCGAAUCAAUCUGGUAUCUUGGUUAUCCUGUAACACUUUAUUUCUGGCAUUUUAGAACAUUUUAAUUUACUCACUAUUUCCUUCUUUGGGCUAUAGGUUUAUUUUGUGGCAGGGUUUUUGAAAGGUAAAAUAU